rnacentral:rRNA from 1 species
GCCAGCCGUAAACUAAAGCAAAUAUCUACCAAUUUGCUCGCCAGAAAACUACACGCGAAAGCACAAAAUUCAAAGGACUUGACGGUGUUCCACAUCAGCCUAGAGGAGCCUGUCCUGUAAUCGACGAUCCACGUUAUACCUCACCCACUUUUGAUACAACAGCCUAUAUACCGCCGUCGUCAGCUCAUCUAAUGAUAGAACCAAAAUGAGCAAAAGUGUAUAUCACCAAAACGUCAGGUCAAGGUGUAGCUUAUAAGUGGGCAUGAGAUGGGCUACAUUUUUUAGAAUAAAAAAUACAGCAAGAAAAAUGAAACAUAGACUAUUAAAGGUGGAUUUAGCAGUAAAUAUGUGCAAGAAGUGCCAUAUUGAACUUAGCUCUGGAACGCGUACAU